GAUGAACGCUGGCGGCGUGCUUAACACAUGCAAGUCGAGCGAAGCACCUAAGAAAGAUUCUUCGGAUGAAUUCUUUUGUGACUGAGCGGCGGACGGGUGAGUAACGCGUGGGUAACCUGCCUCGUACAGGGGGAUAACAGUUAGAAAUGACUGCUAAUACCGCAUAAGACCACGGUACCGCAUGAUACAGUGGUAAAAACUCCGGUGGUAUGAGAUGGACCCGCGUCUGAUUAGCUAGUUGGUGGGGUAACGGCCUACCAAGGCGACGAUCAGUAGCCGACCUGAGAGGGUGACCGGCCACAUUGGGACUGAGACACGGCCCAAACUCCUACGGGAGGCAGCAGUGGGGAAUAUUGCACAAUGGGGGAAACCCUGAUGCAGCGACGCCGCGUGAAGGAUGAAGUAUUUCGGUAUGUAAACUUCUAUCAGCAGGGAAGAAAAUGACGGUACCUGACUAAGAAGCCCCGGCUA
rnacentral:rRNA from 1 species